rnacentral:lncRNA from 1 species
CGGGCUAUGGCCCACCACGCUAUCGGUCGAAAGCGGGGAGGGAAGGCACAUUUAAAGCGUUUUUAUCAAAAGCAAUAUUUUUUUCCAUGUGAAAACACGGAAUCCUACUCAUUACUACACAUGCUUAAUUACAUAACUUUUAGUUUUGUUUUCGCUAUGUCCGAGUGCUGAAUUCGCCCUCGGACAUAGCGGGGCACCUGGCUCACGCCCGGGAAUGCAAUCAACUUUCAGCCGGUGCAAAAAGUGACUUGACACUAUGUGAGUCAGUCAGCACAAAUGUGGAUAGUAAUAAUGACAAGAAGGCAGGAGCUGGAACGUAUUCUACAUGUUUGAAACAGCGAUGCUGGUGGCCUGGUAUGAAGAUGGCAGGAUGUUACUGAUUCUGAUGAUGUGUGAGGAUCCCCUGGCUCUGCUGACCAAGAUUGGGGAGUGGCACAGUUUUGUCUCAUCUGGCACACUCUUGUCCCUAAAUCUAUAUGAUAGACCAUCUUUGUCCUUCCAUCCUCCAGGAUUCCGGGCUACACCAGCAGCCUCCUCUUCAUGCUCAUCUUCUUAG